UAGUGUAGAGUUGGUUUAGCCAGCGUUCGCUUUAAUUCUAACAUGUCCGCCAGAGUCCAAAUCUGACUGCUUUUUUCACAUUUCCCUCCUUCUUGGUGGUUUGAAGGAAUUAUCCACCCCCCCACCCUUGGAUUUCUUUGGAAUAAACAUAGCUAUUUCUUAAGGAAUACACCAUUCAUGUCAAUGCUUCAACAUGCAGCCCCCGCCGAGAAAGGUAAAAGUGACUCAGGAGCUGAAGAAUUGUCACAUAGAGCAGAUGACCAGACUGCACCUCAAACAUCAGACAGAAUGUGACCUGCUGGAGGACAUGAGGACAUACAGUUUGAAGAAGGGCCAGUUGGAGAGGGACUAUGCCCAGGUAAGAGCCUGUGUAGUUCAACCUGAGGGUUUUUCUCCUCUGUCA